CUACGGGUUGCUGCAGUGAGGAAUUUUGCGCAAUGGGGGAGACCCUGACGCAGCAACGCCGCGUGAGUGAUGAAGGCCUUCGGGUCGUAAAGCUCUGUCAAGUGGGAAGAACCUAUCCAAGGGUAAUAUUCUUGGGUACUGACGGUACCACUGAAGGAAGCACCGGCUAACUCCGUGCCAGCAGCCGCGGUAAUACGGGGGGUGCAAGCGUUAUUCGGAAUUAUUGGGCGUAAAGGGCGCGUAGGCGGUUUUGUUAGUCAGAUGUGAAAGCCCGGGGCUCAACCCCGGAAGUGCAUUUGAUACUGCAAGACUUGAGUAUGGGAGAGGGAAGUGGAAUUCCUGGUGUAGAGGUGAAAUUCGUAGAUAUCAGGAGGAACAUCUGUGGCGAAGGCGACUUCCUGGACCAAUACUGACGCUAAGGCGCGAAGGCGUGGGUAGCAAACAGGAUUAGAUACCCUCGUAGUC
rnacentral:rRNA from 1 species